rnacentral:tRNA from 1 species
AUUUAAAUAAUUUAAUGAAAAUUUUGAUUUGUGGUGUCAAAUAUAUGGAUUAUAGUUCAUUUUAAAUU